ACACCACUGGAGACUUCCAGGUGCUUCCUCCCCUCCCAAAAUUCUUCUCCUUGCGGUCUCCCUCGACGCCAAGCCCACAUCCGCCACUCUCCACGCUCGCACACGCCGCCUCCUCCUCCUCGUCACCUCUUCGCCGCAGUGGCUCCCGUCGUCCCACGCCUCCCUCGUCAUGUCGAAGAAGGCGACUCUCCAUCCCUUCCGAGUUCCGAGCUCAUGCUCCCCUCCGCCCCUGGCAUGGGUGAAGUCUAUGUGGGAACACUGAACCUGCAACCGAGAUCGUAGAGAUUCGACAAUAUCACAAGAGGAUCAUACUUCUACUCCAUGAAAACUGUAACCUACUAGAGCUGAAAGAAAUAUAGAGCCUAUAAGAAGGAAAUGUAUGAGAUGCAACCAAUGUACAGUAAGCAACUUACCAUAUUUCUUUAUGACAUUGUUCCAAGAAUUAAUAAGUAUUCCAGUGAGCGUCUCAAAAAUGGAAUCAAGAGGUGAGGAAAGACAUCGCCCCAGUUCUGUAGAGGAUGCCUUCCUUUUCCUCGGGUUUUGUUGUGUGUCCUGCUUACCAAGCAUUGAUAGCAAUUCGCCGAUUUGAUAGAUGAGAUGGUAACUAGCUGAAAACAGUAAUAAUUAAAACCCAAGAGCGAUUUUGCGACGCCCUGCUGUGAGCCGACCCUAGCAGUCAAGGCUUCGUAAAUCAGAUUUAUCUAUCAGGUAAAGUCACAGGAAAUGUUGUGGCAAAGGUAUGGCUUAAGAGAAAUCAUGUACCUAGAUGAUUUGUUGUCUAUACGAUUAGAUGGUGCUGUUCAUCUUCAAUUUUGUCAAAUUUGGCACCACUCCAGUCACCAACCAUACAUAAAAAAGUUUUAGUGAAGUCAAUGAAGCAAACAUUUUAAUAUUUCAUUCUAUCAAUAAAAGUGUAGUUUUGCUUCCGAUAAGACCUCCAUAAACAAUAAACACGGGUAAAGGAGAGUAUUGAUGGUUGGAAUGAGUGGUGGUAGCAGAAUGAUAUCUACAUACAUUGAUUAUAGGUACCAGCACCUCAUUUUUUUAUAAAAAAAUAUGUGCGAACUUGGAACUUUUUAAUAUGUGAGGAAGAUGGGUAGAUACUGUUGUUGUGGGCAGGGCAGGGCACCCGAGCAAAAGCAUAGAUGCGAAUGAGAUGAAUCUGGGUUAGCUCUCUUCCCCUAUUUAUUGGAGUUGGAGGGAUACACUGCUGCUAUGGUUUGGUCUGUGAUGUCGUCUCAUUAGAAAAACAUUUGCUUGGAUUGUAUCUCUUUUCCUUUCCUUUCUCAUUAGAGGACUUAAACUGAGCACAUGCUUGGCGUAUGCGUAAUGUAUGUGGCAAGCAAAAGCAAAUACUAUUCUAUUAAUGUGCUCCUACUAACCUGCUCUGCCCACAAUUUAUUAUGGGUAGAUACUGUUCCAAUUUAUUAUGCAUGUUGGCUUCUUGCAGGGAAUGAAUACAUCUUUCGUUUAUAUCAAUUGUGAUUCAGAUGUAUGUCAGUCUUAGUAAGACUGUUAAGUUGUGACAUGAAUGUGAAUUCGAUAAUGUAUUUCAUAACUUCAUCUACACUACAGAUGUAUUGUGUUAUUGUUCCCAUUCAUCAUUGAAAGUAGUUGUUAGAUCCAAAUUGAUUUCAGUUUUACGAAGUGAUGCUGCUACUGCUUCCUUAUAAGUGUUGCUCCCAUUUGAUUUGUCAGAUCACUGGCUUCUGCUACUUUCAAGUAGUGCUGCUGCUUUCGAGUGGUGCUGCUGCUUUCAAGUUGAAGUGAGUUGCUGUUGACUUCCACAACAAGCUGCCACUUUUAGUGGAAGUGAGUACAAAACAUGUUGUUGCUGCAUCUCGGGCAAAUAGCAAAGUUGUUUAUUCUGCUUUCAAACAGCAGUGCUGGUGCCAAAAGAAUGUUUACAAGAAAAUUCAAAACCAAACAAAAGUUGACAACAAACAGGAUGCCAUAACAAUCUAUUUGCUAGCACCAUCCAGAAUUUUAAAAAUUCAGUUUGUUGCCAUGAAACAGUUUGCUACCACCGUUCAGAAUUCAGCCAUGUUCAAGUUUACAACUGCGUUAUAAAGGAAAUUCAGUUUGCUA